AUUGAACGCUGGCGGCAUGCUUUACACAUGCAAGUCGAACGGUAACAGGUUAAGCUGACGAGUGGCGAACGGGUGAGUAAUGCAUCGGAACGUGCCCGAUCGUGGGGGAUAACGCAGCGAAAGCUGCGCUAAUACCGCAUACGAUCUGAGGAUGAAAGCGGGGGACCGUAAGGCCUCGCGCGAUCGGAGCGGCCGAUGUCAGAUUAGGUAGGUGGUGGGGUAAAGGCCCACCAAGCCGACGAUCUGUAGCUGGUCUGAGAGGACGACCAGCCACACGGGGACGGAGACACGGCCCAGACUCCUGCGGGAGGCAGCAGUGGGGAAUUUUGGACAAUGGGCGAAAGCCUGAUCCAGCAAUGCCGCGUGCAGGAAGAAGGCCUUCGGGUUGUAAACUGCUUUUGUACGGAGCGAAAAGGUCCUUUCUAAUACAAGGGGCUCAUGACGGUACCGUAAGAAUAAGCACCGGCUAACUACGUGCCAGCCGCCGCAGUAA
rnacentral:rRNA from 1 species